rnacentral:rRNA from 1 species
UACGUAGGGUGCGAGUGUUAAUCGGAAUUACUGGGCGUAAAGCGUGCGCAGGCGGCUUCGCAAGUCAGGCGUGAAAUCCCCGGGCUUAACCUGGGAAUGGCGUCUGAAACUACGGAGCUGGAGUGUGGCAGAGGGAGGUAGAAUUCCACGUGUAGCGGUGAAAUGCGUAGAUAUGUGGAGGAAUACCGAUGGCGAAGGCAGCCUCCUGGGCCAACACUGACGCUCAUGCACGAAAGCGUGGGGAGCAAACAGG